rnacentral:lncRNA from 1 species
CCAAAGCACUGGAAAAGUCUUCACCCAGUGUGGAAGAUGGCUUCCCCAUAGCCACAGGGGUGGCCCUCCCCUCCCACCCUCGCUUCUUCAGCCUGACUAUCUAGGACCUCUCCAAUACUCCCUGCUCCACAAGUAAUUAGGAGAAAAUAUAAAUGGCUGGGAGGAGCGGUCGGAAACCCAAGUAAAGAUCCAAAGACCCUCCUGUCCUCUCCUAGGACGGAAUGCCAAUAGUCAACUGGACCUGCUGUGACGAUCCUUGGCCUGCAACUCAGCAGUUGGAGAUGGCAUUUGUCUGACUUAGAAGGCCGUUGUGUUUGUGAGAGCAUGUGAGUAAAUGCCAGAUCUUUCUGGCUCCCGUGAAAUGAACAGCCCUGUCCCACCAGACCCUCCUGCCACGUUCUACCGAUCCACCUGGCUGGGAGCCAGAAACAGUGGGUCCACAGACUGAAACUGUGCAUCAUGAUCAAUCAGUCUCUCUCUCUCUCUCUCUCUCUCUCUCUCUCUCUCUCUCUCUCUCUCUCUCUCUCUCGAUUGAUUUUGUGUAUGAGUGUUCUGCCUGCAUGUACACCUGCAUGCCAGAAGAGGGCAUCACAUCCUUUUAUAGAUGGUUGUGAUUGCUGAGAAUUGAACUCAGGACCUAUGGAAAACCAGCCAGUGCUCUCAACUGCUGAGCCAUCUCUCCAUCCCUGAAUUUCUCCCUUUAAAUUAUUUCUCUCGUCGGGCGUGGUGGCGCACGCCUUUAAUUCCAG